GAUGAACGCUGGCGGCGUGCCUAAUACAUGCAAGUCGAGCGAACAGACGAGGAGCUUGCUCCUCUGACGUUAGCGGCGGACGGGUGAGUAACACGUGGAUAACCUACCUAUAAGACUGGGAUAACUUCGGGAAACCGGAGCUAAUACCGGAUAAUAUAUUGAACCGCAUGGUUCAAUAGUGAAAGACGGUUUUGCUGUCACUUAUAGAUGGAUCCGCGCCGCAUUAGCUAGUUGGUAAGGUAACGGCUUACCAAGGCGACGAUGCGUAGCCGACCUGAGAGGGUGAUCGGCCACCCUGGAACUGGGCCACGGUCCAGACUCCUACGGGAGGCAGCAGUAGGGAAUCUUCCGCAAUGGGCGAAAGCCUGACGGAGCAACGCCGCGUGAGUGAUGACGGUCUUCGGAUCGUAAAACUCUGUUAUUAGGGAAGAACAAAUGUGUAAGUAACUAUGCACGUCUUGACGGUACCUAAUCAGAAAGCCCCGGCUAACUACGUG
rnacentral:rRNA from 1 species